rnacentral:lncRNA from 1 species
GUUGGGUGGAGGAGAUGGGACGGUGGGGCUGAAAAGAAGAGAAACUGGGAGGAGAAAGCACAAGGAGAAGAAGGAGGAGAGAGCAAAGAAGGAAAGGCAGGAGAAGCACGUCAGCGAGCCGGCUCACUCAACACCCAGAAGAGCAGCCAGCAGCACCAGCAAGGUCUUCAUUCUGGAGAGGAUGGCGGUCCUGCCUAGGGGUCCCAAGCCAGAGCAGCCCGGCCGCCGGUGGACGCAGGCACCUGCAGCCUCGCUGAGCUCCCGGAGCCUCACGCACUCUGAACCACGAUCUUCCCUGCCUAUGGGACACUGACACCCAGGACUCCCAGGAUCAGAUCCCUUGGAGCCAAGGGGAGGAAAGAAAAUGGACAAUUACUGAGAGCCUACAAGUGCUGCCACUCUACCCUCCUUCCGUCAUCGCAUCCUUACAACAUCUCAAUGAGGUAGGAGUUUUAUUAUUAUUUGACAGAUGAAAAA